rnacentral:rRNA from 1 species
GCCGCGGUAAUACGGAGGGUGCAAGCGUUAUCCGGUUUUAUUGGGUUUAAAGGGUCCGUAGGCGGAUGCGUAAGUCAGUGGUGAAAUCUCACAGCUCAACUGUGAAACUGCCAUUGAUACUGCGUGUCUUGAGUGAGGUUGAAGUAGCUGGAAUUAGUAGUGUAGCGGUGAAAUGCAUAGAUAUUACUUAGAACACCAAUUGCGAAGGCAGGUUACUAAGUCUCAACUGACGCUGAUGGACGAAAGCGUGGGGAGCGAACAGGAUUAGAUACCCUGGUAGUCCACGCUGUAAACGAUGCUAACUCGUUUUUGGGGAUUUAUCUUCAGAGACUAAGCGAAAGUGAUAAGUUAGCCACCUGGGGAGUACGAACGCAAGUUUGAAACUCAAAGGAAUUGACGGGGGCCCGCACAAGCGGUGGAUUAUGUGGUUUAAUUCGAUGAUACGCGAGGAACCUUACCAAGGCUUAAAUGGGAAUUGAUCGGUUUAGAAAUAGACCUUCCUUCGGGCAAUUUUCAAGGUGCUGCAUGGUUGUCGUCAGCUCGUGCCGUGAGGUGUUAGGUUAAGUCCUGCAACGAGCGCAACCCCUGUCACUAGU